CUAAAUGCCCUCAAAUAACAAAUGAAAGUAUGGUGAUCUCUAAGCUGGAUUGCCCAGCCAUUAGAAAUAUGUUCAAAUAAUUUUUAAUGGAAAGAGAAAAUUCUUACACUCUGGAAAAGCUUCUCAGAGGAAGUGUUAUUGAGCUGGUUUUUUAAGGAUCAGUAAGGGAGUAGAAAAGAAUUCCAGCCAUAAUGGAUGGGUAUAUAAAGGAAAGGAAGCAUUCAAGAGUUGGAUAAGAUUAUACUCACCCAUAUGAGAUAGUAUAUGUAUUUUUUAGCUUCAAGUCUGGGCAAUGAGGUAAAAAGGUUCCUCAAGGUUCUUUAUUCUAGAAUUCUAUGACAAUGUGUUGAGAAUCUUGUCAUGCAAUAAGGUGUUUGCCACGUAUUAUUCCAAAUGCAAAUAGCUAAACAAGAUCAGAAGAAUUUGAAAAAUUUGCCAAAACCCCAGUCUCAUACCAGAUUCGCUACAUGGGCAAGAAGAUAUGUGAUACUUACAUUAAUUCCUACAAGAAUCUGAAAGUGAAGCUCCACUGGCAGGAGAGCAGAGCGGAGCGGCAGAGGAGGAGAGAAGAGAAGCAGCUGGAGAAAAGCAGCUUGACUUCAGAGGGAUGGCUUGAUGGCAGGACUUCAGAGAAGAGUUUGGCCAGGCAUGGCCAAACUCCAGGGGAAGAUUAUCUGCUCACUCCAUCCCUCUCCAGCUCCCCUUCCCACUGAGAGCCACUUCCAUCUCUCAAUAAAAUUAUCCGCAUACACCACCCUUCAACUGGUUCUUGUGACCUGAUUCUUCCUGGAUGACAGACAAGAACUUGAGUACCAAGAGGGAAGAGUAUAAAAGGCUGUGACCCUCACCCUCCACUGAGGUGGUGAACACUUAGCCAUCUGCGAACAGCAAACGCUAAAAGAGCACUGAUUGUAACACAUGCCCUCUGGGGCUCUGGGGGUCACAGACACCCCCUCCCGGAAGGCAGAGCUAAAAGAGCAUUGUAACAUGCUUGGACUCUGCCGCGAGGCCUGCUCAAAGCUUGAUCCUACCAGAGAGGAGUGACCAGAUGGUUCCAGCAUUUGUUCGCCCCGGCUCCUGCACCUGCUCACCUGUGUGCUUCCGCUUCUUGAGGGGUUCAGAGCUUUGGGCUGAGUAAAUGAGCUACCCCUUCACAAGUCCUGUGAAGAGGUCAAGGGAAAUAUCCCGUCUUAAAGAUGGAGUCUUGCUCUGUCACCCAGGCUGGAGUGCGGUGGCACGCUCUCUGCUUAC
rnacentral:lncRNA from 1 species